CAGUGUUACAGCCCUUUUAGAAUUUGUCCCGCAGGUUUUCAGGUUGCUACUGGCCUCC
rnacentral:snRNA from 1 species